CUCUCUUCUAUCCCUCCCCUCUCCUCUAUCCCCUUCCUCUCCUCUGUCCCUCCCCUCUCCAUUAUCACUUUCCUCUCUUCUGUCCCUCUCCUCUGUCCCUCCCCUGUCCUUACAUUACCCCUUUUGUUGCCCUCAUGGUCGCCAUUGGGGGAGCACAUGAGGUACAACUGUACCGGGCCUCAAGGGGGACCCAGCUGUGCUGCACUUUUCAAAUUAGCCGGGCCCCCCUUACCAGCGAGGAAGUGAUGCGCCGCCGAAAGAGCCGAAUGUCCCGAAGAGCCAAAGUCCCGGAUCGGUGAAGUCACAAAUUGCAGAAGAGCCGAAGUCCCAAAGCUGCGAACCUAGCUGAAGCCGCGAAAAGAACCCGAAGUUGAAGUCCUGAAGACACCAAAAGACCCAAAGCCACAAAAGUAGCCGAAGCGAAAGACCCAAAGCCACGAAAAGACCCAAAAACCGCAAAGAAACCCGAAGUUGAAGUCCUGAAGCAGCAAAAAGACCCAAAGUCACAAAGUAGCCGAAGCAUGAAGAACACCCAAAGCCGCAAAAAGACCCAGAACCAAGAAAAAACACGAAGUUCAAGUCUUGACACCACAAAAAGACCCGAAGCCACGAAAGUAGCUAUAGAAGAAUCUAAGGUUGGAAUCAGCCUCCCACGUGGAUUUCCUGGAACUGCUGUUGAGUGAUUGUUAGCUGUUGUGUUCCAAUGGAAUCCUCCAACCCGUAGCUCCAUUUGUCACAGCCGGUUACUAAGCUCUGAUUGGAUGUGGACAACAUGGCGUAGAUAAAGCCAGGGUCAGACUGACCUGCCACAAUACCAAAGGAUCUCCUGAAGGGCCACAGUCCUAGCGAGGACAGUUACGCAUGGUAUCCCAAAACCCAGAACAAAUGCCAAGGUUCCAGUAACGGCUCACACUUCUGCCUAUAAUAGCUGCCUUUCUCUUCGGGAGAAGCCCUCCGCUACUUGGAUGCCACCAGGCCUUAAAGGACAUGUAAAGCCUACAUUUUCCUACCAUGUAUAUAU